GCCGAUAAACUUCCUGGAGGAUGACAAUUUAGCCAUUAUUUAUACAGCUGCGUUUGGAUGUACUUCAGUGAACCUGGUGUCUUUAAUAUUUCAAAAAGGAUCAGUUUUAGACUCGUUGAAUAUUCCAACAUUAGUAAGCCCCUGGGUCAGAGGUAAGCGAUCAAUGUUUUUCAAAGUUUAUGCUCAAUACAAAGCAAUAACAUGUUGAAUCGUUAAUACGGUUAGAUAUAUAUGAGAAAUUGGCUACACAUGGCAUACAUUAUACAACUCACAUAUCUUCGCUAUGUUGUAUGUAGAAGUCCCCGACUUUUUGUGCUAUUAAUUGCACUUUGUUAAAACAACUGUUUCACAUACAACGCCUCUUUUUCGGAGAUAUUGUUUAUCUACUAUUUUCAAAGUAUAAUCUCUAUGUUUGACCUUAUAGAGACACAAUAUAGGAGUUUUACCAGUAUUUACAUUUUGUAUAUACACAGAUAUCGGUCGAAUUUGAAUUUCUUUCUUCUUAUUAUCAUAUUUUGGAAUAAAAAGUAGAGCUCUAAUUACUAUCCUUAUGCUAAAUUAUAUCGAUGUCAAACAUAUUAUUUGGAGGUUUCCUUAUAUCUGCAGUUAAUUCGGGAUAAACUAAUUACAAUAAAACUUGAAAUCUAAUAAUUGUUUGUCAUUCUGUCAUCCUAAGUGCUAUGUGUUUCAUUAUUCUACAUUGGCUAGAUGUAUACGAGGAGGGUUGAGGGUUAAAAUUUAGUUCAUUUAUAUUUUUUGGUAUUUAUUGUGACGUCCAUUUUCAUUGAACUAGUAGACAAUUUUAUGUAGGGGCCAACUGAGGACCGCCACCAGGUGAGGGAUUUUCUCGCUGCGUUGAAAAGCAAUUGGUGGCCUUCGGCUGAUGUCUGUUCUUUGGUUGGUUUGUUGUCUCUGUGACAUAUUCGUCAUUUCAAUUAUCAAUUAUAUGAAUUCAUUCAUGACAGUUGAUCAAUUCAAAGAUCUCAAUUAAAUUUUAGUUCCAAUAUGUCUUUUGACGAUAUAUCACCACCGUGAACAAUGAUCACCUAGGUCUUGCCACUAAUGCCAAAAAUUAAAAUAAAUAGCCUAGGCUAGAAAAUAUGCUACUAAGUCAAACCUGUUCAGCCACUAGGACACAUGCAUUACGUCAUAUUACCAUGCACACCGGCUCAGUAUACGCCUGUUUGCUUACUUUGGGCAGACAGAUUCAGACAGAUUCACCUUGACAUCAAAUGACAUUCCGCAAUUCGUUUGUCUUUAAUACAAGUAAAUACAUUCUAAGUUGGACAAAGGUGUUGUGGUUGCGGGCUCAGCAUUUAAAGGAGUAAUAGGGUGUAAAAAAGACGGAGUUUAGCCAUAGUCGUAAUGAAAAUUGAUUUGUAAUAUAAACAUUUAAAUUCAAAAUAUCAAUUAUCUAAUUAUCACUAUCAAAUGCAUGUGAGUUAGAAUACUCUUUCAUGAAUAUUUGAAAAUGGUGCUUCAGACGAUUAUAUGUUACAGUUUAGACCUUUCAUUCGUUUAAACUAUAAUUAGCUUUCUAAAUUUAAUACUGAACGGAUAUUCCCUAUGAUGUACUAGGGAUAACUCCUGCCUUACUAAUUUAAAGGCAUUUCACUGUAUGUUGUUGUCCAAGAGAUUUAAGAGUAAAGACAAAAAACUGAUUAUCGAAAGCAUUAUAAUUAUGUACCACACUUCAGUGCCUAGCGGGGCCAGGGAAGACUCUGUCCAAUACUUUGUUCUUCUUGUUUAUUACGAAUAAGCGUUUGAAAGAAUUACUUGCCAAAGAAUGGGGGUUUGAAAGACUUUUGUGUUCAUCUUAUACGUUGUUACUUUUAAUCAUACCAUUGUUUUUUUCAGUUUUUGUUUGGCUGCUGAUGGCACUGUUUGUGACCCUAAAAUUUUAUCCUGUAUUUGCUGUUAUAAGAUGCAAAAGAAUUAUCAUCGAACCUUUAAUUGGCUUUUUCUACACUACAUUCAU
rnacentral:lncRNA from 1 species